GAAAGCACUUCGGUGUGAGUAGAGCGGCGGACGGGUGAGUAACGCGUAGGAAUCUACCUAGUAGUGGGGGACAACUCGAGGAAACUCGAGCUAAUACCGCAUAAGCCCUACGGGGGAAAGCGGGGGACCUUCGGGCCUCGUGCUAUUAGAUGAGCCUGCGUUGGAUUAGCUAGUUGGUGGGGUAAAGGCCUACCAAGGCGACGAUCCAUAGCUGGUCUGAGAGGAUGAUCAGCCACACCGGGACUGAGACACGGCCCGGACUCCUACGGGAGGCAGCAGUGGGGAAUAUUGCGCAAUGGGCGAAAGCCUGACGCAGCCAUGCCGCGUGUGUGAAGAAGGCCUUCGGGUUGUAAAGCACUUUCAAUUGGGAGGAAAGGUUCACGGUUAAUAACCGUGAGCUGUGACGUUACCUUUAGAAGAAGCACCGGCUAACUCCGUGCCAGCAGCCGCGGUAAUACGGAGGGUGCGAGCGUUAAUCGGAAUUACUGGGCGUAAAGCGCGCGUAGGUGGUCUGUUAAGUCGGAUGUGAAAGCCCCGGGCUCAACCUGGGAACUGCAUUCGAUACUGGCAGACUAGAGUGCGAGAGAGGGAGGUAGAAUUCCAUGUGUAGCGGUGAAAUGCGUAGAUAUGUGGAGGAACACCAGUGGCGAAGGCGGCCUACCUGGCUCGACACUGA
rnacentral:rRNA from 1 species